rnacentral:rRNA from 1 species
AGAGUUUGAUCAUGGCUCAGAACCAACGCUAGCGGCGUGCCUAACACAUGCAAGUCGUACGAGAAAGUCGGCUCCGGCCGGCGAGUAAAGUGGCGCACGGGUGAGUAACGCGUGGAUAAUCUACCCUUGAGUUGGGAAUAACGUGCCGAAAGGUGCGCUAAUACCGAAUAAUGCUGAGUAACAUCAGUUAUUUAGCCAAAGAAGGCCUCUGCUUGCAAGCUUUCGCUGAAGGAUGAGUCCGCGUACCAUUAGCUAGUUGGUAGGGUAAUGGCCUACCAAGGCGACGAUGGUUAGCUGGUCUGAGAGGAUGAUCAGCCACACUGGAACUGAGACACGGUCCAGACUCCUACGGGAGGCAGCAGUGAGGAAUAUUGCGCAAUGGGGGCAACCCUGACGCAGCAACGCCGCGUGAGUGAGGAAGGUUUUCGGACCGUAAAGCUCUGUCGAGCGGGAAGAAAUGCAUGCUGGCUAAUAUCCAUCAUGCUUGACGGUACCGCUAGAGGAAGCACCGGCUAACUCCGUGCCAGCAGCCGCGGUAAUACGGGGGGUGCAAGCGUUGUUCGGAAUUAUUGGGCGUAAAGAGCGUGUAGGCGGUUGGACAAGUCAGAUGUGAAAGCCCUGGGCUUAACUCAGGAAGUGCAUUUGAAACUGUUCAGCUGGAGUAAGGGAGAGGAAAGUGGAAUUCCUGGUGUAGAGGUGAAAUUCGUAGAUAUCAGGAGGAACACCGGUGGCGAAGGCGACUUUCUGGCCCUAUACUGACGCUGAGACGCGAGAGCGUGGGUAGCAAACAGGAUUAGAUACCCUGGUAGUCCACGCUGUAAACGAUGUUCACUAGGUGUUGGGAGUAUUGACCCUCUCAGUGCCGCAGCUAACGCAUUAAGUGAACCGCCUGGGGAGUACGGUCGCAAGAUUAAAACUCAAAUGAAUUGACGG